rnacentral:rRNA from 1 species
CUCAAAGAUUAAGCCAUGCAAGUGGUUAUCAUUUUAACCCGACAGUUUAAAUAAGUGUUUCGCACACACUAUAUUUUCACUCUCUCUCACUACACACAUUACGCAUUAUCCUACGGAUUUUGAGUAUAUACUAUACCAAACUCGACUAUGAAGCCUCUUUUAUUCUAUGCUAUGCAUCUCACACACACACAACGACGGUGUCGCAUGGAGUUUUACGCCAUACGUAGAGUAUAAACACAUACAGUGAGUGAAAUUAAGGACUUCACUUACGCAGCUGCAGACAGCUGCUUAAUACAGUUACACUUGUCUUGACUUGGCACCAACCUGGCAUUAUCGAAAGCGUAAAGCGUAUGCAUCACACACACAGCAUGCGGUCGUAUCGCAUAAGAUAUUGUCACGGUAAAACAUAGAUUGCAAACCAAUGAUUUCUCUGUUCCGCUCUUACACACACAUACGAUAUUAUAUUUAGCGUUACACCAUGACACUAGAUUUGAUAUUUUAUAAUGGAUAACUCAGGGAAAGUUUGGCUAAUACGUACGAGACACAAUACACACAUACACGUAAAAUUGCAUAUACGUUACACACAACGCGUAUUAUUGCAUUUUACAUACACAAUUACUCAGCACUCAAUGGUGGUCCAUUCUUCAUUGAAUCCCAGUUGCCUCGUGAGAGACAUUGAGCACGCAUUGUGUGUGACUCACGUCACGCACAUUUCUACGCUGAGCAGACUUUGCAAAGUUUACUUUGCGAAGCAUGUCAUACAAGCAUCUAUAGCAUCAAGUUACGGGUUGGCAAGUGUAUUUUUGAACCUUCAAAACAGUCACGCAUACGGAGGAGUAGUUUCUGAUCCCAUAGAAGGAGCACAGUACAUUGAGAGACCGCUCUUAGUUCUAAGGAACGCAGCAGGCGCGUAAAUUGCCCAAUGUUAGUACCCAUUCACACCGGAGAAUUCAUCGAAGCACAUUUAUACAACACGGUAUAGUUGUUACACAAAUAUCAAUAACGAUAUUAUGCGAGAGAGACAUUAUCACACACAAACACAUCACCCUUGAUCACAUUACGUACACGACGUAUCAUUGUAUAGAUUCAACCUUCACACACACUGAAUUCUUAUGAUUUUACUGAGGCAGUGACAAGCUGUAACGGUUGAGUAUAAAAAUGACGAGUGUCUGGCAUUGCCGUCUAGGUUCGCUUAGGCUUGGCAUCAUUGCCGACGCUUCGUAUGCUCAAUUGGACUGCGGUGAGUUCAAUACACUCAGUACCAUUUGACGCGGUAGAAUUAAUACCUCUGCUGUGUUAAGUUAUCUGAACCCAUCAAGUAGAGGGCAAGUCUGGUGCCAGCAGCCGCGGUAAUACCAGCUCUACUGGCCUAUACAAUCAUUGUUGCGGUUAAGAGGCUCGUAGUUGGAUUGAACUAUUAUAUACGCGCUCAUCUUACACACACAACGGCCGUAUCGAAUAGCAUUAGCACCAAGCUAAAUAUUGGUGUACGUAUUUAUGACUCAAUGCGUACAGCCAUUCGACAAAACACACAUAUGCAUUGUUCGUAUACACAAACCCCCACCUUACAUACACGCGUAUUCAACACUGUGAACAAAUCAGAGUGUAUCAUACAUGUCUUUAAUUGAAUGUGCAUUGAAUGUCUCAUCAUGGGAUGUUGCCUACACACACAGCAAAUUUCNAUAUCCGACACGUACAAAAUAUAUGCAAUGAUUGAUUUGAACUGUGNUUACAAAAUGUCGAUGGGGAUAGNUGGAGUUAGCAGUACUGUUGGGCGAGCAGUAUCCAUUUAUACGGUCUCGACGGGACGUUUACAAUAUGUAUCUAAUCAAUACAUAUCUUUUGCGUGUAAGCUUUGUACAAUUAUUCACUCAACCACUCGUGGUUAUGAAUAUGCGUAUGCGUGCACUUGAUUUUAGGAGCUUUGCGCUCAUAUUAUCUUGGUUAGAUGCAAGUAUCACUCGUUCACUGUGUACUGGCGUAUCGAUAUAUUCGUAUAUCCGAUUACUGCUGUAUCACUAUGAACAACAAACAAUGUGAUACGACGCACGCUUUAGGCACGCGCUUACUGCAGAAAUGUCUGAGACAUUCCCCUCCGGGGGUAGUAUGCACGCAAGUGUGAAACUUGAAGGAAUUGACGGAAGGGCACCACAAGAACGCGUGGAGCAUGUGGCUUAAUUUGACUCAACGCAGGAAAUCUUACCGGGUCCGGACACACUGAGGAUUGACAGAUAAUAACGGGUUGACUGGUUCUUCUUGAACCGACCGACUCUUAAAAAUAUGAUAGCUCUUUCAUAAUUAUGUGAUAGGUGGUGCAUGGCCGUUCUUAGUUCGUGGAGUGAUCUGUCUGCUUAAUUGCGUUUUCAUUAUGGCUGACUAUAGUAUGUGUAUUUAUAUGCUCUCGCGGUAUGUAAAUCACGUCUGUCGGCUUUGAAAUGCAACGAACGUGACCGCAACCUCUUGUUGCACCUUAGCUGCUCAAGGUGCUCAACUAGAGGGACCGCUGUAUUUUUUCUUUUAGCCAGAGGAAGGAUGCGGCAAUAACAGGUCUGUGAUGCCCUCAGAUGUCCCGGGCUGCACACGUGCUACAAUGAUCAUUGCACUGCGCAUCUUCUUUUAUGUUUACACUGUCGUGUGCGAUAAUGAUUCGCUUCACAGUGGUCGUAUCAAACACACAGUACACACACCCGUGUCGACAGGCUACUACACUCGGGUAACCCAUUAGAAGUAAUGAUUUCCAUAUGCACACAAUCAUACGUCACGAACGCUGAACACUCCGGUGUCUCAAUGUUCGUACGCAUGUGCGAUUGUCAAUUCAUGGUGGGGACAGACCAUUGAUAAUUGUUGGUCUCGGUCUCAACUAGGAAUGCCUUGUACGAGUCGGUUCACCAAACCACUCGGAAUACGCCCCUGCCCUUUGUACACACCGCCCGUCGCUCUUACCGAUGGACUUCGCUGUGAGUUUGAGGGACUGGCCUAGGCUAUAGAAACUUAAACGAACAGUGUGGUCUAAAGGAAAGAGAAGUCGAACAAGGCA